rnacentral:rRNA from 1 species
CAAUCGGCCCGUCUAGUAACACGGACCAAGGAGUCUAACAUGUGUGCGAGUCGGUGGGUGACAAACCCACGAGGCGCAAGUAACCUGACUGAGCAAAUUCGACCGACCAUGAUCUUCUGUGAAAGGUUUGAGUGCGAGCAUACAUGCUGGGACCCGAAAGAUGGUGAACUAUGCCUGAGCAGGGCGAAGCCAGAGGAAACUCUGGUGGAGGCUCGUAGCGAUACUGACGUGCAAAUCGUUCACCA